rnacentral:rRNA from 1 species
GACGAACGCUGGCGGCGUGCUUAACACAUGCAAGUCGAACGGAAAGGCCCUGCUUUUGUGGGGUGCUCGAGUGGCGAACGGGUGAGUAACACGUGAGUAACCUGCCCUUGACUUUGGGAUAACUUCAGGAAACUGGGGCUAAUACCGGAUAGGAGCUCCUGCUGCAUGGUGGGGGUUGGAAAGUUUCGGCGGUUGGGGAUGGACUCGCGGCUUAUCAGCUUGUUGGUGGGGUAGUGGCUUACCAAGGCUUUGACGGGUAGCCGGCCUGAGAGGGUGACCGGCCACAUUGGGACUGAGAUACGGCCCAGACUCCUACGGGAGGCAGCAGUGGGGAAUAUUGCACAAUAGGCGGGAGCCAGAUGCAGCAGCGCCGCGUGCGGGAUGACGGCCUUCGGGUUGUAAACCGCUUUCGCCUGUGACGAAGCGUGAGUGACGGUAAUGGGUAAAGAAGCACCGGCUAACUACGUG